rnacentral:rRNA from 1 species
CCUACGGGGGGCAGCAGUGGAGGAUAUUGCACAAUGGAGGAAACUCUGAUGCAGCAACGCCGCGUGAGGGGAGAAGGUCUUCGGAUUGUAAACCUCUGUCCUCAGGGACGAUAAUGACGGUACAUGAGGAGGAAGCUCCGGCUAACUACGUGCCAGCAGCCACGGUAAUACGUAGGGCGCAAGCGUUGUCCGGAUUUCCUGGGUGUAAAGGGUGCGUAGGCGGCCCUGCAAGUCAGGUGUGAAAACUACUGGCUGAACUCCUAGAGUGCACUUGAAACUGUGGGGCUCAAGUAAAGUGGAGGCAGGAGGAAUGCCCGGUGUAGCGGCGAAAUGCUUAGAGAUCGGGAACAACACGAGGGGCGAAAGCGUACUGCUGGGAGUUAACUGCAGCUGAGGCACGAAAGCGUUGGUAGCAAACAGGAUUAGAUACCAGUGUAGUC